rnacentral:rRNA from 1 species
UGGGGAAUAUUGCACAAUGGGCGCAAGCCUGAUGCAGCCAUGCCGCGUGUGUGAAGAAGGCCUUCGGGUUGUAAAGCACUUUCAGCGAGGAGGAAGGGUUCAGUGUUAAUAGCACUGUUCAUUGACGUUACUCGCAGAAGAAGCACCGGCUAACUCCGUGCCAGCAGCCGCGGUAAUACGGAGGGUGCAAGCGUUAAUCGGAAUUACUGGGCGUAAAGCGCACGCAGGCGGUUUGUUAAGUCAGAUGUGAAAUCCCCGCGCUUAACGUGGGAACUGCAUUUGAAACUGGCAAGCUAGAGUCUUGUAGAGGGGGGUAGAAUUCCCAGGUGUAGCGGUGAAAUGCGUAGAGAUCUGGAGGAAUACCGGUGGCGAAGGCGGCCCCCCUGGACAAAGACUGACGCUCAGGUGCGAAAGCG